CUCUCCUUUGUGCAUCUUGGACUCCUGAAGGCCACUCAGAGCAUAGAUGCGGUGAGUGGGGGGGCGGGGGGGAGUGUCCCUGUUUACCAGGCUCAGGGCACCAAGUGGUGGAACCAGCACUGAGGUCCCCCCACAUGCACCCGGAAAGCAAGGCAAUCCUGUGGGUAGAGAGAUGCGGGCUAAGGCAGUGGGUCGCUAGGGGAAUUCAAGGUGGACCCAAUGAGUCACACACUCUGGAGAGGAAAAGCUGGGGGCGGGGAGGGCGGGAGAUAAAGGAAGAAACUGAAGGCGCCUUGUCUCGACUCCAGCCAGCUUAGUUCUUUGGAGAAGCAGUGUGGAGUCCUAAAAAAGGAGGCUGAGUCUUACCGUUGAGGUCGGUGCCGGUAGAGAAUGGGAGGGAGUCUGCAGGAGCCAAGCACCCUAAAGAAGAGGAAGAGAGCACGUUGCUGAGAUUUGAACAGCGACCUGAGAGGUCAGACUGGACCCAGGCCCCUCCUCUCAGAUUGGCUUCCCAUGGGACCUGCAACUGUCUGGAAACAAAAAAAGAAGCCUACCAAAAGGGGAAAUUUAAAGGAGAGCAAGAAACCAUGAAGAGAGAGCCGAAAACCAAGAUGCCGACAAGCCCAAAGGAAAGCGGAGUGUCCUGUGUGCCACAUGGAACUCGGGGAAAGGAAAUGAUUAAAGCCGUGAGGUUUCCUGGCUCUUCGGUUUUUAAACCACGGGUUGUCAACUAUUUGUUCAUCUUGAAACCAAUACUGUGGGGGAGAAAUAGCUGGUGUCAGAAAGUUUGCAAAAGAUCCUGGUGUCUUAACAGCUGCUGGUAGAAUGGCUGAGGGCCAUAGUGAGUACUUCAGAGGCUUGGUGACUGAUGCGAGGGUGAAGACUCUUCCACUGCUUUUACAGCCCCUCUGCUCUGGUGCUGAGAAGCAGGUACUAUUCCCAUUGCUCAAACCCCAAGGCGCUGAUUAAAACACAUCUAACACUUUUCUAGGAGUUGCCCUUCUAGACUUGACCUUGGGAAUGGCAGCCAUCUCCCUGUUGAGAGCAUUCCAGAUGCUGAGGUUGCCUAGCUGAGCUAACACUCAACUUGGGUGUGGCCUCUGUGUCUCCCUCUUACCCUGCAAAUGUAUGAAGCAAAUGGCUUGAGAUUUCUGUACCAUUCUGUCAGUCAGGAGGAAAGGAGAGUCCCAUAUCUUGGUCAAGAGGAACCUGCCCACAAACUCCAUUUUAGGUUUCCUAGUGUUCUGACUUGAGGAAUAUGCGGAUUUUCCCCCUGCUACCAAUCUAGAAGGCACCACUGCUAAUAAUCUAGUGUUCCAGAAAUGCAUUUUCCCUUGUAGCAUAUGCUUUUAGGCUUUAGAAGGUGCCAGAAUCACCUAAAUGGCUGGGGACUGGUCAGUGGGCACAAUAGAUAAAGGAGUUUCCAUCUAGUCUAAUGAUCUCUUCCAUCUCUGUGAUUUACUUCAUGACGUGGCAGGCACACACCCUCCCCACAAACUAAAUAAGUGUUAUAAACAAAACAACAAAACAAAGACAAAAACAAAACCGCAGUCCUCAUUUCUGAUCCAGCAGGUCUGAGGCAGAGUUUAAGAACCUGAAUUUCUUAUAACUUCCCAAGUGAUGCGAAGGCUGGUCCAGGGAAUAGACUUUCAGAACCAUUGCCAUAUAUCCUCUUAAGAAGGUGUGAAAUGGAAGGUGAUUGACAGGGCAGGGUGAAAGUGUCCCUGAAUCCUUCCACACUCACCUCAUGCUAAAGCUAACAGCAAGUCUUGCAUACUGAAAAACUUCAGUGGAGGGGAGUGAUGGCUUACAGAGGGAUUUGGGUACAGUAGAAUUUUAUCACUUUAUACAUCUAAAGGAUCGUGCCAGGAAUAUAAAUCUUCACACAUCAUAAACUGUUCAUUUUUGUCUUGUGUUUAGUCUUGCAUAUUUUAAAGCCUAGGGGGAGAGUCAAAUCAAGAUAGUUCAAUGAAAACUUAACCAAUGGCAAUUCUUUUAUAUAAAGAUAAUGUUUACCACUGUGCUGCAAAGGGACAGAUAUACUCUGUAUUAAAUGGGAGCUGUGGGCUGAACUUGAAUGUCACUGACUCUGCCAAGAUGGUCCUGGCUCCCAAGGCCUGGCUCCUGUGGCUUCCUAGUGCUGGGCUCUGGCUG
rnacentral:lncRNA from 1 species